rnacentral:rRNA from 1 species
UACGUAGGCACCAAGCGUUGUCCGGAUUUAUUGGGCGUAAAGAGCUCGUAGGCGGUUGAGUAAGUCGGGUGUGAAAACUCUGGGCUUAACCCAGAGCCGCCACCCGAUACUGCUCUGACUUGAGUUCGGUAGGGGAGCAGGGAAUUCCUAGUGUAGCGGUGAAAUGCGCAGAUAUUAGGAGGAACACCGGUGGCGAAGGCGCUGCUCUGGGCCGAAACUGACGCUGAGACGCGAAAGCGUGGGGAGCAAACAGG